rnacentral:rRNA from 1 species
CACCGCCCGUCACACCAUGGAAGCCAGCUGUACCGGAAGCCGGUGCGCCAACCCGCAAGGGAGGUAGCCGUCCAUGGUAUGACUGGUGACUGGGGUG